rnacentral:miRNA from 1 species
UUAAGUCUGUUCUGCUUAGAUU